CUGAGCCUCAGUAACAGAGCCUCCAAACAGCUACUCUCUUUCUUCUCUUACCUUGCUGGCUGCACUCCUCAGUCUCAACCCUGGGCAUCUCUUCUCCCACCUUCAACUCUUUUCCAAAGGCAACAGAAGGCACCUCGCCCAGCCUAGGAGCACACAGUGAGCUCCCAAUCAGCCAGCACUGCCUUGAGGAAAUUCUGAAGCAUUUCAACCCCUGGUGACUCUGCUUGGACUCCAG
rnacentral:lncRNA from 1 species